CCACAUUCUUAGAAACUUGCUAGCUUGCUGAAGACUUGGCCUGCUUCUGCCUUCUGUUCUGCAACACUGACUGGAUGCUAAGAUUCAUUCUUAGAUGCCUGAAGCCUUGGAGGAGCUGAAUGGUAGAGUUUCCUUGUAUCUUCCAGAGGAGAAGAAAACACCAUCCAGAAUCCUUGUGACAAGCACUCGCUUGCGAUUGAG
rnacentral:lncRNA from 1 species